UAUUGUAGCAUUUCCUUAUCCCGCUGUUACGGUUAGUCAAAAUGUGGUAGCAAAUAUACUACAAUUUUGUAGCAAAUCGAUAUCAAACCGGUGAGGUCAUAUAUAGACACCGCCCAGUAGCAGUUUGCUUACAUUUUAUUCUCAGUGUACUCCGAUAUUUGGUUAUGACAAAUAAACACAUACAAAUUAUUUACGUCCACAUUAAUGACAAACCUGACGGUUGAAAACCAUUUAAACACAUCUCUCACGCUUAAAAUUACUAAAAUUACUUAAAUAUUCAAUUCCAUCCAGCUUGUUGAAUAAUUUGCAUGCAUAAAAAGCAUUUUUUAACAAAAGAAUAUUUACCUAAAGCCAUAUUUAUGUGUGUAUACAUAUGUACAUACAUAUGUGCGAAGUAUGUUUUACAAAUAAAUGACUUUUCUACAUAUGACAAACACGUAAAAAAUAAAUUCAACAAAAACCAACUCAUGCUCGCCAUCACAUUUACACAAUACAAAACUUGGAAUAAAGUAAAUCGCUAAAAAAUACGUAUGUAUGAGUUUACACAUAAUCUCUAUGAUUCAUACAUACAAACACAUAUGUUACACAAAUUUUGACGUCAACUCUUCAAAUACUUCCUCAUCAUACUAUUUCUCCGUAGUGAUAUCAUUAGCUAAUCAGGUUUUAAACGGUGCACAGAUGGUACAAAAUAGAUUGUGAGUCAAAAAUAAUUAUUAACUAGACAGACCAAUCGAAUCUUAAGUGCAUAUAAAUACUUGUAAUACAAUCAGCCUUUCACUGAUGAUAUAAUUUUAUAAUGUUCACAAUUCUUGUCGUAUUUGGGGGUGUAAUUCUCAUCUUGGGACUGUUAGCUUGCUGUAUAGCGGAAUUAAGACCCGUGCGUAGUAAAGGAUCACCUACAAUCUCGAACAAUUUAAACUCCGGACAAUUCGUGGUGCAAAAUAUUGAACAAAGACAUCCGUUGCCAUGGAUGCCAAACAUGAGUCAGGAAUAUUUUAUGAAUAACCUGGGCAAAGCGAAUACUACAAAAACCGUCAAUGAGCGUUGUGGAUCGAGUUCCCGUGAAUUCUCUGCAACCAGUGAAUCAAGCGAAGGUGCAUGUCACCCGAAUACCCAAGAGGCAGAUAAAUUGGCGAAGAUACUUAACAAAGAUUAAACUUUAAUAAAGCAGGAGGAUUUUAGAAUAUUUGGAGUAUGAAAAUUUGCAAAACCAUUCUGCCAGCGAUAGUUCCCAGCUCUUAAAAAUGUUCAACUAGCUUUAUUGAAAUAAACAUAAAUUAUUACCUGAAU